CAUAUUAGUAGGAUUCCUUUGGUUAUUGGUCUUCGGAGGAACAAUCCGAGCCACCGCCGCUUCUAUCCAUCGUCCCACCCCAUCAUCUUCUGCCGAUAGAGAUAUCUCUCCGGUUGGCGCCUCUUGCUUCCUCCUCUUCCACUCGUAGAAGCAGCAAAUCAUCUUUUGUCGUAUGUCUAUCGCAGCCCUCCCGAAGGGACUCCUAGCCUCCUGCCACCAUCUAUGAAGUUUGGUUUGGAUCCAAUCCAUUCAAACAAAUUUCGUUGAUUUGAUACCUGUAUGAGUAGUGAAGCACAAGAGGAAUGACAAGCACCGAUUCUGACCCGAGAAGGUUAUCGGGAUGAGGUAAUUGGUGCGCUGCAUUGGAGUUGGAAGACUAAAGGGAUGCAAGGUAUGCAAGGUAUUUGUUGCAAUGGCUGAGAAGGGUUGCCACCGACACAAGAGUCCUAUUGUUGGGGGAUUGCAAAAUCACCACAAGACACAUUUCGAAGACACAUCAUUAUUGGAGUUGGAAAUCAAAUGGGAAGAUAAAAGGGCAAUAAUUCAUGCGGAAUGACAGUCAUCAGCUUGAUUAAAUUGUGGAGUUGCCAGAGAAGUGCUUGCUGGCCCUUUUAUAACUUGAUACAGCAGCAACUAACAAGUCUCAGAUUUAUCGUCGUAGUCAUUGAUGAUGUGACUGUCUUUCGCCCAUAUGUUUCGUUGCUUUAAUUUCAUGCCAUCGUGAUCACCACAUA